rnacentral:rRNA from 1 species
GUUCGGACUGUAGGCUGCAACUCGCCUACACGAAGUUGGAAUUGCUAGUAAUCGUGGAUCAGCAUGCCACGGCGAAUACGUUCCCGGGUCUUGUACACACCGCCCGUCACACCAUGGGAGCCGGUAACGCCCGAAGUCAGUGGCCCAACCGAGAGGGGGGAGCUGCCGAAGGCGGGACUGGUAACUGGGGUGAAGUCGUAACAAGGUACC